CUACGGGUCGCAGCAGUGAGGAAUUUUGCGCAAUGGGGGAAACCCUGACGCAGCAACGCCGCGUGAGCGAAGAAGGCCCUCGGGUCGUAAAGCUCUGUCAAGUGGGAAAAAAAUUUUUUGAUCAAUAGUCAAAAGACUUGAUGGUACCACUGGAGGAAGCACCGGCUAACUCCGUGCCAGCAGCCGCGGUAAUACGGAGGGUGCGAGCGUUGUUCGGAUUUACUGGGCGUAAAGAGCGUGUAGGCGGUUUAGCAAGUCAGAUGUGAAAGCCCUGGGCUCAACCCGGGAAGUGCAUUUGAAACUGCUUCACUAGAGUAUGGGAGAGGAGAUUGGAAUUCCUGGUGUAGAGGUGAAAUUCGUAGAUAUCAGGAGGAACACCCGUGGCGAAGGCGAUUCUCUGGACCAAUACUGACGCUGAGACGCGAAAGCGUGGGGAGCAAACAGGAUUAGAUACCCGCGUAGUC
rnacentral:rRNA from 1 species